CAAUCUAGAGAGGGCUGUAGAGCAGGGGUCAACAACAGGUCAAUCUAGAGAGAGGUGUAGAGCAGGGGUCACCAACAGGUCAAUCUAGAGAGAGGUGUAGAGCAGGGGUCACCAACAGGUCAAUCUAGAGAGAGGUGUAGAGCAGGGGUCACCAACAGGUCAAUCUAGAGAGAGGUGUAGAGCAGGGGUCACCAACAGGUCAGGGGUCACCAACAGGUCAAUCUAGAGAGAGGUGUAGAGCAGGGGUCACCAACAGGUCAAUCUAGAGAGAGGUGUAGAGCAGGGGUCACCAACAGGUCAAUCUAGAGAGAGGUGUAGAGCAGGGGUCACCAACAGGUCAAUCUAGAGAGGGCUGUAGAGCAGGGGUCACCAACAGGUCAAUCUAGAGAGAGGUGUAGAGCAGGGGUCAACAACAGGUCAAUCUAGAGAGAGGUGUAGAGCAGGGGUCACCAACAGGUCAAUCUAGAGAGGGCUGUAGAGCAGGGGUCACCAACAGGUCAAUCUAGAGAGAGGUGUAGAGCAGGGGUCACCAACAGGUCAAUCUAGAGAGGGCUGUAGAGCAGGGGUCACCAACAGGUCAGGGGUCACCAACAGGUCAAUCUAGAGAGGGCUGUAGAGCAGGGGUCACCAACAGGUCAAUCUAGAGAGAGGUGUAGAGCAGGGGUCACCAACAGGUCAAUCUAGAGUGGGCUAUAGAGCAGGGGUCACCAACAGGUCAAUCUAGAGAGAGGUGUAGAGCAGGGGUCAACAACAGGUCAGGGGUCAACAACAGGUCAAUCUAGAGAAGGCUGUAGAUCAGGGGUCAACAACAGGUCAGGGGUCACCAACAGGUCAAUCUAGAGAGAGGUGUAGAGCAGGGGUCACCAACAGGUCAAUCUAGAGAGAGGUGUAGAUCAGGGGUCACUAACAGGUCAAUCUAGAGAGAGGUGUAGAGCAGGGGUCACCAACAGGUCAAUCUAGAGAGAGGUGUAGAUCAGGGGUCAC